UGUGAGGUGCGGCGCGGCGUCUGUGAGGGGCGCGGCGUCUGUGAUGGGCGCAGGGUCUGUGAGGUGCAAAGGCCAUUUAGUGUGUGGCCUUAGUUAAUUUUUUGUUUUCAAUUUUCUGUCUCUCAUGUUAUUGAUCUGUAAAAGGAGCAUAAUCGAAGACAAACUGAUGUGAGGAUGAGGAGGAGUCAGAAAUAAACUCAUUCAACUAAUACUUGAGUAGCUACUGUUGCCUACAGUAUGUUCAAGGUUUUGCUAGUCAUCCAUAUGAUCACUAUUGACAGCUUGGGAGACUCACACAGGCUAGUGAAUUUCAGGAAUUAACAGAAACUGAACAGCUUCUAUAAUCCUGCAGGAAGUAACCUCUGGAUGGCACAAACUAUGUAGAGGAAUGGUCAUUCCUCAACUCCCAUGACUGGGAUUCAAGGAGAGCUGUUCUCAGUCAUCUGCAUGUGUUUGACUUUCCUGAUUGAUGACUGCCUUAUCUCCAUCCCCUGGGAACAGUUCUAAAAUAUGAACUGAAAGUCAGGGGUCAGUGGAUGCUGCGUCUGUGAGACACAACUUCAGAGGUGACUAAACUCUCCCUAGAGCUGCCCUCCUCGAAGAUCUUUGUCCUCGGAAAUUGUCAGGGGAAUCUCAAUUUGGCAGCACCAGAUGUCCCAGAGUCUAGGGAGUCAUCAGGCACUAACUUGGGUUUUUUUAAAGUUUGAAUCACAGUUGAUUCGGAAAAUGAUGGAAAGCUGUCAACUAAAGGAAGGUCUGUCGCUCUUUUUAUUUUUGCAUUGUCUUCAGAGGGAGGCCUUCCUAGAAUCCUGACUAGAAUUAACUAGAUCUGAAAGGAAGGCACGAUUUGAAGAGGAGAGGUUUCUACCUAAGCCUUGAUGACAAGAGUUCUGAGGAUGCUGUGGGCCUGGAGAGAAAACUCAAGCUAAACCAAGUAACUCAGUUUAAAUGUAGUUCAGGAGUGAUUUGCAGUGACAUUGCUUCCUCAUAUCCUGAGUGUGCCAGUUGGGAAGGCAUUCUAGAUUUUUAAAGUAUAUAGCAAAUUUCCAUGACUUUCCAAACAGUCCCAAUUCCCUUUGAGAGAGAAAAACAAACGCUGUUUUGUAUUAGAGUGGUUCUCUACCUAUCUUCACAGCAAAGGGUCUUAGAACCUUAGAAGAUUUGAUAAUAUUUGAAAAAUGGAGUCAGAAAUUUCUAUUGAAGUAUUACUAUAAUUUUGUAGCUCUCUGUGAACCCCACAGGAAAUGGGGAAUUUGUAACACGUAUAACCAGACUAAACAGCCAAGAAGUUUUAGUUUAGACACUGUCCAGGAGAGCUGUUGUGGGGCUUGCAAAGACGAGGGAGAUGCAGACCCUGCCUUGGACUUCCUCCUCUGGGAGAAACAGGAAAGGGCCUGGGGUCCAUGAAAAGGGCCUCACAGGAGCCAGAGGAGGACAUGGACGUGGUCAUAUUGUCUGCAGAGAGUGUUUGGAAGCCGUGAGCAGAUCCUGUGGUUUCAGUAGCUCCCAUUUCCUGGACUAGCAGGGGGAAAAAGAUGAAGAGAUCAAUAAUAGGUUUGAUAAAAGUCCAAAUAUGCCUUAAUAAGAAAUUGUCUCUCAUGGAGUAUACUUCAUUAAAGAAAGAAAUUUAGAAUA